UAGGGAAUCUUCCACAAUGGGCGAAAGACCUGAUGGAGGCAACGCCGCGUGUGUGAUGAAGGGUUUCGGCUCGUAAACAACUGUUGUAAGAGAAGAAUGACAUUGAGAGUAACUGUUCAAUAUGUGACGGUAUCUUACCAGAAAGGAACGGCUAAAUACGUGCCAG
rnacentral:rRNA from 1 species